ACUCGGCAGCAAAUAUACUAAAAAAUUGGAAUGAUAUAGAGAAGAUUAGCAUGCCCCUUGCACAACGAUGACAUGCAAAUUCUUGAAGCGUUCCAUAUUUUA